rnacentral:rRNA from 1 species
CUGGCUCAGGACGAACGCUGGCGGCGUGCCUAAUACAUGCAAGUCGAGCGAACAGAGAAGGAGCUUGCUCCUUCGACGUUAGCGGCGGACGGGUGAGUAACACGUGGGCAACCUACCUUAUAGUUUGGGAUAACUCCGGGAAACCGGGGCUAAUACCGAAUAAUCUGUUUCACCUCAUGGUGAAACACUG